UCCUCCCAGCUCCCAAUCAUUCCCCCAGCCCCAGCAGCUUCUCCUGGGGCUGCCAGCACUGUCUGCUUCGUCCCGGGGGGGUGGGGGAGGGAGAACAGCCAAGGCAGUAGCUGAAUGAGCCGCAGUUUCUCUCAGCUGCUCCCACCAGUACUGCCUAGUGCCUGCCUGUACAGUCUGAGGCUUCCAAUUUAAUUCAGAGAAAUUAAUAGGUCUCCUGAUUCAAUCUGGAUUCAGAUAUUUGGCUGCCGAAUUGGGCCAAAUCUCCUCUGAAUCGAAUCGGCUACUGAAGCUUUGCACAACCCCAAUAUCCCCCUCACUGAACGUAAAGAGUGGUCUGGGAGUGAAAGGGAAAUUAAUUUUUAAAGUCUCACUUGGUAUUGUGGGAGGCAAACAUGGUUUCACAACAGGUAUUUAGGGUAAGCUGGGGCACCCAAUCAGUAGUAUGCCAGACCUACUAGUUGCCAGAAGACAACUUUUGAGAGCUCCCCAUAAACUCAAGGUAACAAUUCGGUUCUGAAGUUAUUUGACAGAUUUAUCAGAUCUUCAGCAGUCCUAAAGCAUUUGCAAUUAUCAUUCAGUGGACAACAAGUGAAACAACAUAUUAAUACUGAGAUUUUUCAAGGGGCCCAAAAGAAGGACAUUUCCAACUGUAUCUUCCUCUCAUGCCUUUGAAAAGCUCAACCAACACUUCUUAUUUGAUCACUAGUAUUAUGUCACCACUGUCUCUUUAGGGUAACUCCUCUAGCUACUGCUUAGUUUAGUCUUUCAUUUGCAGACCCCUAAAAAAUUUCAGAUGGAGGUGCAGGCACCUUUGGAAAUUUUGAAUAGAGAUGCAGACCCCUCUGAAUUGUAAGUGUGGGUAUUCACAUACUUUUGACUGAUCAUAAUCAUCUUUUGGAGACCCCUUAGACAUAAUCUGUGGACCUCCAGGGGUCUGUGGACCACAGAUUGAAAACCACUGUAGUAAGUGACUUUAUUACUAAUCCUAAAUUCUUUGAAAGUUUGCAAAGAUGCCCAGGAUACCAAAUAAAUGAUACUAUGGUAAUAGUGAUUACAUUAAGCAGUAUUAUCUUAACAUUAUUUUAAAAAUAAAUAAGACAUAAUCUGGUUUUUAAUAAUGGUUUUGCAGGUGGUGCUGGGCAACUGGAGGAAAAUCUUGAAAAACCACUGAAUACGAAUCACUAAGUGGUGAUCUAUAUUUACAUAUUUAACUUUCCCCAUAUUCUCUAUUUUUAAUAAACACUGCAUCAAGACAGUUCCUAACUGUGCUGCUGUUUAGUCUCUUAACCUACAUAAAUAAUCCUUUCUAGAUGCAUGAUUACAAACAUUUGCUAUGAAUAUGGCAUUCACAGGAACACAAUCUGAAGUGUGGCCCAACCACUGAAAUAGUGAAUUUUAGCAAGGGGUAGAGAAGAGAGAAAAUUCAUAUGUGCCAUUUGUGAAAAGACCAAUAGAAAAUAGUGCUCGUGGAAAAUUGUUUCAAAUAUGGCUUCAAAAUUUUCCACAAGGGAAAAGCAUAUUCUUUUUUCUUUCAACACUUGUCUCUUUCAACACAGCUCUUUUUCAACUGUUCUUCAAUUUUUAUUGAAGAACUGCUAAUUCUCAGCAUAAAACAAAAACAGGACAUGGAUAGGAAGUUGUCCCAUUUUCUUCAAAGAUAGCAUUUUUUCAGCUAUCCUCUAAAAGGGAAUUACACAGUGUGUACUCAGAAAAGGAUUUAUCCGAGGAAGCAUUUUCCAUAAAGAGACAACCAACAACGCAGGAAGAACAUGAACUGAGAUGAGCAAUAGGAUGAUAUAGCUGAUAGAAAGAAACACAAUCUGUUUUAAACUUAGUACGAACAAAUCUGUAUAAAAGCCUAGGAAAAUCUUUGGUUUCAAAUGCACAGUGUUAUACAAUUUCUUUCAAAGAAUAAGGCUAUUAUUUUGCUGGAAGCCUAUAUAGCCCUGGAAACUCUAGCACAGGGCUGCCCAACUUCUAAGGGUCCAGGCAGCACCAGCAAGAGCCACAUACCACAUGAACAGCACCAGCAGCAGCCACAGCCCUCCUAGGCUGCAUGCCCCAUGCACAUGCAGGCAGGCUCCUUCCACACCAUUGUACUGUGGAUGCAUGUGUGGGCGCUCCCCUCCUCUACUGCACCACCCAUGCAUGUGGGCGCCCUCCACCCUGCUUCACCGAGCACACAGGGAGGUGCUCCCCUACAUCUCCACCUCACCUUUUUCUCCCUGUCAUAUCCCCUGUGGCAGUGUGCUGCAGGGUGCUCUGGGCUGCCAGUUCCCCCAGCACCAUGGCCUGUAUUGUGCUGUGCAGGGCUGUCCUGGCCCCUGGGGCAUGCAGCAGAAGCUGGGGGAGGACCAGGGAGUCCUGAGCCCCUGGCUGCUGCUGAAGCCAGAGUAAGAGGGGCAGUGGCAGCCAGGCAGGAGCCCGGGAGCGAUGUGUUACCCACCCACUGUGGGCCGCAUGUGGUACGUAGACCAAUCCGUUGGAUAGCCCUGCUCUAGCAUAAUGCCAGAAUGUAAUGACCCAGCAGGAGCUGAAAGAAUACACAGUACACUUAAAAUGCAACAGGCCACAUUAGGACAGGAAAUAAACAUUAGGACGUUCAGCUGUUCUGCAGACACUUGGCAUAAAACUAAGCGUACUCUAUUUGGCUAAUUUUCUGCUGUGCCCUUCAGGUUGUAUCAAAAGGCAUUUUAAACAGUAAUUUAAACUCAUUCCAUGACAAGGCUCAGCAGUUUUCCUCAUGUAAAAUAUUACCAUUUCUGGGCAGAAGGUUAAAAUAAAUAUUAUGAAAUGGGCAUGUUAUUUAUUUCCAUCUAUUAUAAAUGCAGCCAUCAAUACAUGGCUGAAUGAGUGUACAAAGCCAUACACAAAAUCUAAUAUUGCCAAAAUGAAGCAAAAUGCAGUCCCCCAAAAACACACCCCACCUUCCUUCACAUAGGUCUGAGUAAACAGAUGAGCUUUGCACUGUCCUGAAGGGCAACAACUCGGGCUGUGUCAGAAUAACAGCGAAGCUAAUUCAGUGGAUAGUCCACAAAACUAGAAAACAGUCUGGGAACGGGUCCCAGACAUUCCACUCGGAGAGCUCCUGGCGAGAGCACAUCAGAUGAUCUCAGCUGCCACAUUGAUGCAUGGGGGAGGGAAGGUGGUAAAAAAAGGGCUGCCUUCAAGUGAUACAGAAAGGAACCAAUGUGAAGUCAGGACUCCUGAGUUCUUCACUAGCUCUACCUUUAUUUGCUGUGUGGCUCUAUGUAAGCCAUUUAACAGAGUUAUGAGUUCAUUUAUCCGCAAUUAACCUGGAUUUUAUUCUUAACAAGAGUCGCAUGUUUUAAUUUUUGAAAAUUCUUGAAAAGCAGCACCAGUCAGAAAAGAAAAGGAUGGAUUAUAUUAUAAUGGACACACAGAAAAGCAGAGGUCUGACAAAGUAUAUCAUCCCAGUCAGACUAGAAGUAGAGAAGUCCACAGCAUAUGGCAGAAUAACUACAGCAAGCUAUGACACUGACUAACCCAGGAAGUGGUUUCCUACUAGCACCAUCAUCUUACUGUAAGGAAGGCACAAAGGAAAGGAAGUGACAAUAAAGAAAUACGAUCAGAAGAUGUGUGUGUGUCUGGCUCCCUAAUUGAAGUGGUCAGUAAUAAAGCCUUUUACAAAUAG